GUAUCAAGGCAUCCCCCUGGUGUGCCAAGUCACAUGUCCUCCCGAAGUAGGAACAACGAGUGUAGGCUUUCCACAGGGCACUGAAUGCUUGGUAAUGGUGAUACAGGAGACCGACCCCAUGUCAAAAGGAAACCCCAUUCUAGUGGAAUCCAUGGGCACAGAAGGUCACGAUGCUGCACUGAUUUACGUAAAGGGAAAGUGCAGUGGCUCUGGAACUUGUAUCAUGAACAUCGCCAGCUCCUCCACACCAGGAGCUUCUAGUGGCGACUCCAGUGCAUAGACGGCACGUACAUUGAAGAUAUAAAUUUCUCCCGCAGUGUC